UCUAGAAACAGCAGUCAAAACAGCUAUAAAGCCAUUAUAAACACUCAUAUUCUAUCUCUUCACAAUAAAGCUGUCAGUGGGCGACAUGACAUAAAAUUCACAACUUACAAAUAAAUGUUUAUUCUCUAUUGCAAAUCGACCCCAGGACUUAUUCUUUGUAAGUCUAGUACUUAUUCUAUCGGUCU